CUUGGAGCACCCGCCCCUUUAAACGUCUCUGCACGGCCCUGAGCGAGGAGAACUGAUGCUGUUUGAGAGCAAAGGGAGGCUGAGAUGGAUUAUAUCUUUACUGCCAACUAUGUUCACAAGUGUGAGGAAUUUGACUAAAGCAUCAACACAAAACCCAACCAUGCUGACAAAAUGUCGUGGUCCAGGGUUAUUUGUAAAGUUUUUGGGCUCAAGUUUUAGUUCUUGUUUUAAAUUUGAUUGUUAUUCUAGUGGUCUUGAUUUUAAUGAAAGCCUGUUUGCCUUUAUUUUGUUUUUCUUUUUUAUUCCACUAUCCCCACUGUUUGUCAGAUCCGUUCCUCAGUCGUAUCAGUACUUUCCCCUUUGUCACAGUAAGGUGGAGUUUCAGGCUCAACUGCAGGGAUCAGUGCAGUGUGAAUCAGCUUACUUUCAAUCAUGCACUUUAUCCUGCAGAGCUAAUGUGCCAAAAUGCUACCGCAGACUACACUACAACCUAAUGUUGCUAACAAUGAAAGGGCAAAGGGAAAAUUGUAAUGCACUCUCCAAGUGAGUUCGCCAUGCCAAACAGCAUGACACAGGAAUUUAUUUGUAGUUACAGAUCUCUCUGCCUAAGCCUUCUAGGACAACAAGGUCCUUCAAAAAAAAAACUCACAACUUGGCAUCCAUUUGGAAAUAACUUUAAUUUAUUUGGUCACAGAGAUGUAAAAGCUCCAUUUAUUACUUCAAUCUGAAAGAAAGAAACACUUCAAGAGUUUGUAGAUUUUUGUUUCAAAUGUAGGUAUUAAAAACUUUUUUUGUUUCUACCCUGAAAGUUUAACUUCUAUGGCCAUCUCUGCUUUAGUGCAGAGUUCAUGUCUUCCUCUUAUAAUUCCUCCGAUGUUAGUGAGGCAACACACUUAUAUAAAUGAAACAGAGGCAACAAAACUUGAACACAGACACAAACACAUGUAAUACAAUUUAAAGUGAAGGGACAGGAUAUUAGGUUUUAGUGUAUGGUAGAAACAGGAUGUGUGCAGGCAGUGUUGAAACAAAUGUACUCAUCUUACUUUAAGAUUGGAAAUACAAACGUAUGAUUGUGGGCAUUAUAUCCAGCAAGUUGAAAUUAAAUGUUUUAUCCCAGCGAUAGAACUUCACUGCUUUCAUACAGUACUCUCUUAUUAUGGGCACAGCACGGAGAUAUAUGAUGUUGUAAGACCUGCUUUGUUUCAGAACAUGAGAUGUUCAUGGACAUUAAGCUAAAAUAUGAUUUAUUUAAGUGUUAUUUGUGAUUAAAUAUCACGAUUUUCUGUCAGUGUUGUUGUAAUGCAGUUUUGUUUUGGGGUUUUUUUUUAGCUUUGUCAUGGUUAUAUAAAACAGAGAGGUUUGGACAGGCAAUUUAUCUAAAUGUUAAUCAACCUUUAUAACCACUAAAGCACACCCUCUAUUCAUACUGGAAAUCUGACUUUUGGCAAAAGUUCAUUGUUAAUCAAUGGUGCACAAAACUUUCUGUUUGUUCAGCACACGUAGUUCACGUUUGCCAAAUUACUCCCAUGUACUGAAACAGCAAUUUCUUCACAUAAAACAGUCAAAUCUAGGAAAAGUUGCCACCCCAGACCUUCUCAAUCAGCUAAGUGAAUUUGCAGAUUCAUACACAUACAGUGCUAAAAACACAAAGUGGAUCUUGAAGUCUAUAAUCUUUUUUCUUUCUGGUUUCAGAAACUCACAGCAGAAUAUCAAAGUGCUGCCCACAAUGUCAUUGUCAUGCAUUACAAGUGUGACCUGGGCUGUAUCCCAAUUCAGGGUCUGCAGCCUUAAAGUGUCAUGAUCCUGGGCCAUGUUGGCCCAGCAUUCUUAGUAGUUGUGUAUUUUUGUAUUUUGUUCUUUAUUUAUGCAUUGGUUCCUAGGUUGUUCAGUUAAGAUGUUCCUUAUUUGGUCACCCUCUGUGUGCCCUUCUGUAUCUGUGAACCCUCGUCUCCCCUCCUUGUGUUUUAUUCCAUGUUUCCCCAGCCUGCUAUGCCUGUGCUCUCCUCUCUCUCUCUCUCUCUCUCUCUCUCUCUCUCUCUCUCUCUCUUUCUCCUCCUGUCUGCACCUCUGUACUUCCUGUUUUACUUUGACAGUCUCCCGUCAGUGUCGUGUUUCUCCCGCCAUGUCUCGUUACGAUUAUCUGUGUCAGCUGUGUUCCCCGUGUGCUUCCCUCGUUAACCCUCUGUGUAUUUAUGUGCAUGUCUCUCUCAGUUCAGUGUCGCGUCGUCAAUGUCUCCUCCCCGAACCUGUGUGCCUUUCUGUGUUUCCUCGGUCCUCAGUUUAGUUUACCCAGUUCAGUUCUCUUACUUUGUAAGACCUGCAAUAAAGCAGCGAUUUUGAGUUCAG